CGCUGCGGCGGCCUAAUACAUGCAAGUCGAACGGUAAUUUUCUCUGCAAAGGGAAAAACGAGUGGCGCACGGGUGCGUAACACGUAUGCAACCUACCCUGUACUGGGGCAUAACCCUGAGAAAUCGGGGCUAAUUCUCCAUGGUAUUGACUUACGGCAUCGUAAGUUGAUUAAAGAUUUAUCGGUACGGGAUGGGCAUGCGCCCCAUUAGUUAGUUGGUGAGGUAACGGCUCACCAAGACUGUGAUGGGUAGGGGAUCUGAGAGGACUACCCCCCACACUGGUACUGAGACACGGACCAGACUCCUACGGGAGGCAGCAGUAAGGAAUAUUGGGCAAUGGAGGCAACUCUGACCCAGCCAUGCCGCGUGCAGGAAGACGGCCCUAUGGGUUGUAAACUGCUUUUCUGAGGGACUAAUUUCUCAUACGGGUUAUGAGAUUGCAUGUACUUCAGGAAUAAGCAUCGGCUAACUCCGUGCCAGCAGCCGCGGUAAUACGGAGGAUGCGAGCGUUAUCCGGACUUAUUGGGUUUAAAGGGUGCGUAGGCUGACAAGUAAGUCAGUGGUGAAAUGUCAUGGCUCAACCAUGGACUUGCCAUUGAUACUGUUUGUCUGGAGUGCAUUGGAAGUGAGCGGAACGAGGGGGUGUAGCGGUGAAAUGCAUAGAUAUUCCUCAGAACGCCGAUAGCGCAGGCAGCUCACUACGAUAUAACUGACGCUGAGGCACGAAAGCGUGGGGAUCAAACAGGAUUA
rnacentral:rRNA from 1 species